CUGUAACGAAGUAGGAUUGUCACCAAGGUCCAUAUUGACAGGAGAGUCUCUAGAUGAAGUUUGUUUCCUAACUUGCUCCUUUCUUCUCCCAUUCCUAGGGUACCAUUCAAACACCAGCGUCCCCCCAAAAGAAGAAAGUUAGUUAUCCUCCGUAGCCAACCUACAUAUUCCUAGAAGAAGCUAGGAACAGAGACGCCAAUUAAGUAAGGUUCAACCCCUGCGUGUCCCCCACUGCUUGGAGCACGUGUUCAGAGAUUUCUGAGGCCCUGGAGCAGCAGAGAGGGAGGGACCAUCUAACGAUCUCUGGCGUUGAGGCUUGGCAGGAAGAGGAUGGGCAGCCCCAGGCUGCAGCCCAGCUGGCGCCCUUACCACAGCCAUCAGCUCUGACACCUCCACGUCAUCAUACAGCAGCUCCUGGUGAUGCUGGCUGGGCAGGCCGUCAAUGGUGUGCUGGGACCCAGCGAUGGAGCCAUGGGAAAGUGUUACCUCCACAGAAAGGAAAGCAGAAGGCCAGGAAAGGCGCCAACUCUGCCUUCAGGAGCUGGAUAGCGUCUCAUGAGAGCCAGGGUCUCAUGAGAGCCAGGGAUGCUGUGGCUGCCUCCGGGCCAGAGGCCUGGCUCAGCUCUUUGCUGGGCCUCCUGCAGGGCUGCUCCCUGGCCCUGGCCUGCCUGCUGGACUGCGGUCCUCAGGACCUGCGGCAAACAGCCGUGACCACGACCUCUGCCCUGGCCGUGCCUCCCCACUCCCACCCAGCCAGAGGGCCAGCGGUACCUCGAGCUUGGCCAGCUCCUCGCCAUCGUGGAGGAUGCGGAAGGAGUAGAGGUGGUCGGGGCUCGGGUCUGGCACCACCUCACAGCCCACCAGGCUGAGGGGCUGCUGGGCCGCCUUGCUGCGGUUCCGGUCCUGGUAGAAGUACAGGUGACUGUCCCUGACGGAGCACCAGCGCGACUUCCACUGGCUGUUCACCAGCACGUUCAGGUAACCUGCGGAGUGGGACGCGGCUUCAGGGCGGGUGGGUGGCUGAGGGCCGCCCUUGCCCCCGGACCCCUGGAGAGGCUCCUCCAGAUCUCAGCUCCAAGGCUUGCCAUGCUUUGCCCCAGAGACUUUCUUGCCUCGUAGAGUCUGUGAAUUCUCCUUUGUGUUAGCUGCUAGAUCCUUUGAAGGUGGGCAGCACCGUGCUACUGGGUUUUGAGAAAGGCCUGUCCGGAGGGAAGUGAGUCGUGCCUUGGCCUGGACCAGGCAGAGAGCGUGUGUGUGUGCGCGUGUGUGCGUGCAUGCAUAUGU